rnacentral:lncRNA from 1 species
GACUAGUGAGCCACGACAAAGUGCGGUCCACCAUGGACAGCAAAGGAUAAACGGACCUGGGUGCCCAUGCUAGGUUGGGGCUGCGAGUUAGGUCAUGCCCGCACCGAGCCAUGCACCCACGGUCGGCCCACACCCACCUGGGUUGGCUCGUGCAGCCGUCGGCCUAAGCUGGCCCAUGGGUCCCUCCGGUGGCCCAUGGGCUAUACCAACUGCUCCCGACCUGCUUCAUU